UCCAGACACAGAACUGCCCGGGCCUGGCUGCUGGGGACAGUUUGCACCUUCACUUAGGAUGAACCUGCUACGGAUUUUCCUGUUCAUGCUGGUGGCCCCUUUAGGUGUCCUCUCCCAAGUGCAGCUGCGGGAAACGGGCCCGGGAGCGGUGAAACCCGGGGAGUCCCUGACACUCACUUGUACCAUCUCCGGAGACUCGGUUUCUAGCACCAGCGCCACCUGGGACUGGAUCCGGCAGCCCGCGGGGAAAGGGCUGGAAUGGGUGGGACGCAUUUACUACAGACCGAGUCAGUGGUACACGAACUACGCCAGUGGUCUGCAGAGUCGAACGACCAUCACACAAGACACUUCCAAGAGCCAGUUCUCCCUGCAGCUCCGCUCGCUGACAGCCGCAGACACCGGCAUCUAUUACUGUGCCAGACACACAGUGACUCAGAGCAGAGCAGGGGCUGGCACAAAAAGGGGAAGCGGAUUCUGGCCACUUAAUUUUCACAGUUUGAACUGUUCCCGGUCGCAGAUCCAGCUAAUGAAGUCCGGAGAGGAUGUGAAAAAGCCCGGAGACUCUCUCCGCCUCUCCUGCAAAGCCUCCGGGUUCGCCUUCAGUGAUUACUGGAUGGACUGGCCGCGCUACGGCCUGCAGGGCAGAAACCAUCGGAUUCCCCCAUAA